AAAUCAAGGCUGAGGCGUGAUGACGAGGCACUACGGUGCUGAAGCAACAAAUGCCCUGCUUCCAGGAAAAGCCUCUAAGCAUCAGGUAACAUCAAAUCGUACCCCAAACCGACACAGGUGGUCAGGUAGAGAAUACCAAGGCGCUUGAGAGAACUCGGGUGAAGGAACUAGGCAAAAUGGUGCCGUAACUUCGGGAGAAGGCACGCUGACACGUAGGUGAAGUGAUUUACUCAUGGAGCUGAAGUCAGUCGAAGAUACCAGCUGGCUGCAACUGUUUAUUAAAAACACAGCACUGUGCAAACACGAAAGUGGACGUAUACGGUGUGACGCCUGCCCGGUGCCGGAAGGUUAAUUGAUGGGGUCAGCGCAAGCGAAGCUCCUGAUCGAAGCCCCGGUAAACGGCGGCCGUAACUAUAACGGUCCUAAGGUAGCGAAAUUCCUUGUCGGGUAAGUUCCGACCUGCACGAAUGGCGUAAUGAUGGCCAGGCUGUCUCCACCCGAGACUCAGUGAAAUUGAACUCGCUGUGAAGAUGCAGUGUACCCGCGGCAAGACGGAAAGACCCCGUGAACCUUUACUAUAGCUUGACACUGAACAUUGAGCCUUGAUGUGUAGGAUAGGUGGGAGGCUUUGAAGCGUGGACGCCAGUCUGCGUGGAGCCGACCUUGAAAUACCACCCUUUAAUGUUUGAUGUUCUAACGUGGACCCGUAAUCCGGGUUGCGGACAGUGUCUGGUGGGUAGUUUGACUGGGGCGGUCUCCUCCUAAAGAGUAACGGAGGAGCACGAAGGUUGGCUAAUCCUGGUCGGACAUCAGGAGGUUAGUGCAAUGGCAUAAGCCAGCUUGACUGCGAGCGUGACGGCGCGAGCAGGUGCGAAAGCAGGUCAUAGUGAUCCGGUGGUUCUGAAUGGAAGGGCCAUCGCUCAACGGAUAAAAGGUACUCCGGGGAUAACAGGCUGAUACCGCCCAAGAGUUCAUAUCGACGGCGGUGUUUGGCACCUCGAUGUCGGCUCAUCACAUCCUGGGGCUGAAGUAGGUCCCAAGGGUAUGGCUGUUCGCCAUUUAAAGUGGUACGCGAGCUGGGUUUAGAACGUCGUGAGACAGUUCGGUCCCUAUCUGCCGUGGGCGCUGGAGAACUGAGGGGGGCUGCUCCUAGUACGAGAGGACCGGAGUGGACGCAUCACUGGUGUUCGGGUUGUCAUGCCAAUGGCACUGCCCGGUAGCUAAAUGCGGAAGAGAUAAGUGCUGAAAGCAUCUAAGCACGAAACUUGCCCCGAGAUGAGUUCUCCCUGAGACUUAGAGUCUCCUGAAGGAACGUUGAAGACGACGACGUUGAUAGGCCGGGUGUGUAAGCGCAGCGAUGCGUUGAGCUAACCGGUACUAAUGAACCGUGAGGCUUAACCUUACAACGCCGAAG
rnacentral:rRNA from 1 species